rnacentral:rRNA from 1 species
GUCGAGCGGAAACGAGAAUAGCUUGCUAUUCGGCGUCGAGCGGCGGACGGGUGAGUAAUGCUUGGGAAUAUGCCUUUAUGUGGGGGACAACAGUUGGAAACGACUGCUAAUACCGCAUAAUGUCUACGGACCAAAGGAGGGGAUCUUCGGACCUUUCGCCUUUAGAUUAGCCCAAGUGAGAUUAGCUAGUAGGUAAGGUAAUGGCUUACCUAGGCGACGAUCUCUAGCUGGUUUGAGAGGAUGAUCAGCCACACUGGGACUGAGACACGGCCCAGACGCCUACGGGAGGCAGCAGUGGGGAAUAUUGCACAAUGGGGGAAACCCUGAUGCAGCCAUGCCGCGUGUGUGAAGAAGGCCUUAGGGUUGUAAAGCACUUUCAGUCGUGAGGAAAGGGUGUAAGUUAAUACCUUGCAUCUGUGACGUUAGCGACAGAAGAAGCACCGGCUAACUCCGUGCCAGCAGCCGCGGUAAUACGGAGGGUGCGAGCGUUAAUCGGAAUUACUGGGCGUAAAGCGUGCGUAGGCGGAUUGUUAAGCGAGAUGUGAAAUCCCGGGGCUCAACCUCGGAACUGCAUUUCGAACUGGCUAUCUAGAGUACUGUAGAGGGUGGUGGAAUUUCCAGUGUAGCGGUGAAAUGCGUAGAGAUUGGAAGGAACAUCAGUGGCGAAGGCGGCCACCUGGACAGAUACUGACGCUGAGGCACGAAAGCGUGGGGAGCAAACAGGAUUAGAUACCCUGGUAGUCCACGCCGUAAACGAUGUCAACUAGCUGUCUGUGUCUUGAAACGUGAGUAGCGUAGCUAACGCGCUAAGUUGACCGCCUGGGGAGUACGGCCGCAAGGUUAAAACUCAAAUGAAUUGACGGGGGCCCGCACAAGCGGUGGAGCAUGUGGUUUAAUUCGAUGCAACGCGAAGAACCUUACCAUCCCUUGACAUCCAGAGAAUUUUCUAGAGAUAGAAUUGUGCCUUCGGGAACUCU